GUACUAUAGGAGGACUAAUCUGGUAGAACAUGGGUCUAUAGGAGGACUAAUCUGGUAGAACAUGGUACUAUAGGAGGACUAAUCUGGUAGAACAUGGUACUAUAGGAGGACUAAUCUGGUAGAACAUGGUACUAUAGGAGGACUAAUCUGGUAGAACAUGGGGUACUAUAGGAGGACUAAUCUGGUAGAACAUGGUACUAUAGGAGGACUAAUCUGGUAGAACAUGGUACUAUAGGAGGACUAAUCUGGUAGAACAUGGUACUAUAGGAGGACUAAUCUGGUAGAACAUGGUACUAUAGGAGGACUAAUCUGGUAGACCAUGGUAGUAUAGGAGGACUAAUCUGGUAGAACAUGGGGUCUAUAGGAGGACUAAUCUGGUAGAACAUGAGGUCUAUAGGAGGACUAAUCUGGUAGAACAUGGGGUCUGGUAAGGAGGGCCAGGUACUGGGUUCUACUCAGGAGGGUGACACACAGCCAGGACACUAAUGCCUGAUUCCCACCAUAUGGCUGACCUGACUUGUACCGUGCUGACUGAUAUAUGAUCCGUUUAGCAGCUUUGGUAGAUGUUUAACCAGACCAGCCUAGUCCAGCUGGUAGAUGUUUAAC
rnacentral:lncRNA from 1 species